GCUCCCCUCCUUAUUUUUCACUGCUAAACCAAGUUUGCAAGAACUGAAAAGCCUGUUUGUUGUUUUCCCAAUAUUGCUUUCUCAAGGAAGUUACUGGAAAAGUCAGAAAAAUUUUUGCACUGAGGAAUUGCAGCGUGGACCACACCAGCUCUGCACAAGAACAUGACCUACUGUAAGAGAGGUUCUAUAAUUUCAAUUAUUCUAGCUACUCUGUUACCAUACCUGAGACUGCACUGCCAUGGUGUCUUUGAGAGAAAGCAGAAUGUUCAUCAGAGAUCACCCAGCUUCCUCCUGGAGUGAGCUAUCCUACUGGAGGGAGAAUGGGCUGAAGGAGCUCUUCUUCACCUAGCUGCCGUUGACAUGUCUGGCCACCCAUGUGAGAGCUGAUUCAACUUUUAUUCUUCUGUGAAAUUUUCAUGGCUUUUCUAAUGAAUGCAAAUUACUGCAUAUUUUUUAAAUCUUGACAGUUCCUUUGCACCAGGCACCUCUAUGCAGAAACAUUGGGGCUGGAAUGAAUCAAUGCAGUGCCAACUUUGCUAAAGGCAAGCACAGGGAGACCUGAAGGCCUUGGAUGGAUGGCUGUCUCCAUGCUGCAGACCAGGUUAAGAAACACUGGAUAUAUGUGAACCGUAUCAUGAACUGUGUUGUAAAAAUCAGUGACUCUGAAAUGCCUGAAGAAAGUAAUACUUUUCUGUGUCAACUAUG